rnacentral:misc_RNA from 1 species
UGAACUAUGCCUGAGCAGGGU